UGCUGGCAGAAAAGGAGGAACUUGGCUGACCUCUGCUGGGCUCUGACAGGCACAGUUACAGAUGUUGAUCAGGGUUAAUGAUUUGAUGCAGGAUGUAUAUUUGUUCUCAAGGCUUCCUCUGGCUUUUAUUAACCACUGAAAGGUUUCAGGGAUCAUUAGCAGAGUCAGAGCUGCAUCCUGCUGCUGCUGCAAACGGCUUCAAUUUAGCAGCAGCAGCAGUCGUCUGCGUUCUCUCCAGAUUCCUAAGUGUUCUCAUAGUCCAAAUGUAUUCUGAAAUGCAAAUAACUUUGACCUUAAAUGACUAGAUUUCUGUGGCUGUACAAUGUAUCCUGCAGAGAAAUGAUGAUGCAAGAGAUGGAGGCUUAAAUUACAUGGACGUAAACACAAAAUCUCAGGUUUUUUAAUUAGGGUUUUGAAUGUGGAAAGUGGAAAGAAUCUAUCUUCACUGCGAGGAGAAAGAAGUGAGGUGGAGGGAGAGAAAGUAAACGAGUGAGUGAGGGAGUGAGUGAGGGAGGGAAGCAGAUGGCUGGAAAUAUAGCCUGCUAAAUUAUUCAUCUGGGCUGGAGUCUGGAGAUAGAUAGAUGGAUCGGGGCUGGCAUGGACACUUUUAUUAGGAUUUCAGGAGCUGUGAGCAGAGUGGUUUCAAAACACCGUGAUUGUCUUGUGAGAGUAAGAAAAAUAAUUGCAUCAGGCUCUUUACUGGAAGAGUUCAAAUCUCCAGCUCUCUCUGUGAGGAGGGACUGUCCUGCAGGAUCAGGACAGACAUGCACCUGGAUGUUUUGCUUCAGAAGUAUGAAAAUGACUCAGUACCGUUCAUCGCUGUGAUUGUUUCGGCUGCAGUAAUUCAUCUCACUCUGCAGCAGUGAGGAAAAUGAGUAAAGGAGAAUCAUUUCAAAACAGCCUUGACUCCAAAUUUGACUGGUGAAAACUAAAGCUCUGUCCACGGUUGUGUAGAUAUGUUUGAGGACACGUUCAAGGAGUUUCAGAAAAGUGGGGAUUUUUAGAAACUCUAUGUGAAUUCAUGUAGACAGCAAAAACUUGAGUUUUGGGAAACACUGAUGUUGCCUUGACUUACACAUGACAGUUUUUAUUUAACAUGUACUUAACAUGCCCAAAAAGCAACCAGUCAGCAUCUGAUUUCAUGUUUGAAACUUCCUACUUGUGUUGACUUUCGAGCCCCUGUGGAGUAAAUGACUGGAGCACUUGGUUCAGUCUCUCAGCGUCCUGUCAAUCAUCUGGCCUGACACCUACCCUUAGACAGUGCUUUCAGGAACUGAAAAUUACAGCAUAGAUUUGAUUUGUUUCAUCACUGAUGGUCUCAUUUGCCUUUGUAGGUCAAAUAAAGGCAUCACUGUGAAUUUGAGUAUAUUUCAUAACCAAUGAAAAACUCCUUAUGGUACCUCUAAAAACAUGUGUGGACAUAGCCUAAAGAAGAAUAUACAGUGUACAAAGAUAUCAAGAGCUUUAUUUAUAUUUCCUUAAAUCAGAGACUACUUUCCUUGUUGCACUCGUCCAGUUCUUGCAAAGUCAGAGAGGUUUUAAAAAGUCAAAGAAACACUUUUAAAUGCGCUUUUUUGACCAGGACAAACUUCUCCUCAUGAGGUAAUUCUGGUUAGAUACGUCUAGCUCUGUUACUGGUAUGUUAAAUAAGAUGCAGUGAUUUUUUUUUCUUCUAAAAUCAGCAACAGCAGAGUCUAAAUUUGGGAAAAAUGAAAAAGAAAAAUCCUUCACACGUACUUUAAACCUGAAAUUUGAAAAAUCUUCUCCACAAAUCCAGUCGUGAUUGCAUUGAAUCACAUCAACUGCAGUGGUAUAUUUUAUUGCCGACCAUCGUUUGUUCUCCAGCAGAGUGUUUCGAGAUGUUUUUGUAGCCUGAGUGUUGUCCCCCUUACUGCGGCAUCAUGAAGCCUGUUGUUCCCUCCUGUUCAGAUCUUUGCUUGUGUUGUUCUUACUCUCAGAUGUGCGCCACUUUGAACAAAAGUGUCUGCUUAAUGAAACAGUGACAAACACUUUCCUCCUCAUCCCUGCAGAGUUUGAUGUCGGCAGGACAGUUGAAGGAGAAUUUUAGUUUCCCUGCUGGUUCAUUUUAUUUUUAUUUUUAGAAAAGUGAUUUUGUUAAACCUUUUUUCUUAACUCCUGUCCUUCCACUGAAACUCUCUUUGGAUUUAAAACUCUGUGUAAAUAUUUUCCCUAAAAAAACAUGCCUGAAGGAUCUAACAAUUCAGGGAAAUUUAAUCAAUACUCCUUAAAGAUGACUAAAUUCUUCAUUUUGACCUCAGCUCACUCUGCCAGAGGGGAUCUUGGGUGUUCUGUGGUGUCUGAAAAGCUUUUUUAAAAACUCAGGGGGAUGCGUGGAUUUGACUUCUUUCCAAUUUCCCAACCCCCGUGUCUGUAUAAUCAAAAACUAAGAAAAAUAUUGUAAAAAUGUCCUUUUCUUUUGUCUUAACAAACAGGAUUUAGGAAUGGAGUGACUUGGGGUGCAGGGUGCUCUGUAGAGAAGGAAGUUUAAGGUUAAUCUGAAAUGCUGUCAUACAUUUUCCUGCAAUGUCAGAACACUCACACAACAGAUCUUCAUUUUCAUUCAUAAUAAAUCUAUACGUGGUGUUUCAGCAUGCGAGGAAAAAGGUAAAUUUAAUCCGUAUUUGAUUGUCUAAACAGCAGCUAUGUCCAAUUUAAGCCCUGUGUUUGCAGAUUAUAACAGCAAUGAAUGAGGAGAGAACAAUCUCUCACAGAUGCUCUCGUCUUUGAUUGCAGACACUGGGCGUGUGCAAGGUGAUACAAGAUGCUGUAAAGUGUCUGGAAAAGCAGAACAAAUCAGUUCAAGCCAAACUGACAUAUAUCACAGUAUUUUAGCUGCAGUCACAUCUUCCUUAUAUCUCAUACUGCAGAGUCGAAGUGCUUCGAAAAAAACAGAACUUUCCUCAUAAACAAGCUUCUUCAUUUUUACCUUUACUGUCUAUGAAAUGGUUCAAGAUUCAGGAUGCAGAAAUACGUUUUAGACUUGCUUCUGUCAAGCGUGUUUUCUCUGCAGAGUCUAGUUACUGCAGGACUAUCCUUUACAAACGAGCUCCCUCUUUAUUUUGACAUAAAUUGUCUCUGUAUAAGGUGACUCAGGAGGCAAAAUAAUGUCCCAGCCAUGCUUUGAUUGGAUUAUAGGAGCUGCUGUGAUGUAUUUUCUCAGACUAAAUGCAUGACAGGCCAAAUAAGUAAAAGAAAUGACUGAAAAUUAAACUGCAAAUGUUUUUGCCCUUGAUAUGAAGUGCUCCAGGAGGUUGUGUGAUGUCUAAAAACACAUCGAAAAAGAGUUUUUGUAGUGCAUGGAAAAGGUUAUUGCAGCCUUGAUCAUGCAAUCAAACCCAGCACCUGCAUAGUUUAACCAAUAAGAAAAUAAAAACACGAGGAAAAGUCGACUAAAACCUCCUCUCUUUGGUUCAGGUCACUGAAAAGUUCAUUUGAGGUGAUUCUGGAUGCAGAAAAGUCAGUUUAAUCGGACACUUUAUCAGAUUCCCUGGUUUCAAUCAUUGUAAGUACAAAAAUGUCAAAUCAGAUUUGAGGAAAAGUCUUCAACAAAUGCUCUCCUUCUAAGUUUUGUCCAAAGAUGUCUCCGCAUGAGGAGAUUCAGGACGCUGAGUUUUUGUCUGAAAAUUUGCUGGAAGCUGGAGCGUCCCAGCUGCCCUGUACUGUUCGGGUUUAGAGGAACAAGUUGUUUUGAACACUGAGGUUCAAAGAAAAUACAAAAAAAAAAAAAAAAAUGCUACAAAAGGGGGAAGCGACCUGGUUCGUAAAAUAAGAUUUGUGGUUUGUAUGUGAGGUGAACGUCUGUGCAGGAAAGCCCUUCAGAGUGUUUCAGAGAGUCUCAGCAGACUCAGAAAAAAAUGAAAUUUCAUAAAGAAAUUGCUGCGAUUUUUCAUUCGACUGUUUUUUACAUGCAUGAAAAAUAUUUGCACAAAGACAGGCGCUGUUUGCUUUCCUUCCCCCUUCGCUUCGACAUAUUGAGACAGUAAAUACUCUCUCUCUACGUUCUAUUUUUCCACUUAGCUUUGAGCAUCAUGUGUAGCAUAUAUGACUCUCCCAGACACACACACACACACACACACACACACACACACACACACACACACACACACACACACACACACACACACACACACACACACACUCCUGAGUGGAGGGCUCCGGGGAAAUAGAGCAGAGAGGAAGCUACGUGCCUUCGCCAAGCAAGGGCUGUCUGGUGUCAUGGCAACCGGUGCAGAUUACCCCACCCUCCAUCACUCAGAGAGGAGAGGAGAGUAGGGGAGAGAGGGAUGAGCGCGCACACACAUGCAUGAAUGUAUAGAGGCACACAUAAAAAGCAUUACACAACACCCUAAAUGCUCUUAAAUGAUUCAUAAAUAAUCUGUUCAAACGUGUAAACUUAUGCUUGUCAGCUUUUUGUGGCGCAGCAUCCUCUUUUUCUUAGGAGGAGAGGUAGGAAAGGAGAGGGGAGGAGGAGGAGAGAGAUGAAGAGAGUGGUGCAGGGAAAGGUGGAGGGGGCCAUAAACAUAUAGUAGAGCUAAAUACGUCUGGGGGAUAAACUCUUAUUAAAAGCAGUAAGGUUAUCCGACACAGCUGUACUGUGGGGGUGGGCAGUUAGCAUCGAGCUAACGCCCUAGCCACCAGAGUCCUAUUGAAAUGAAGUUAAAGGGGAAAUAUUAUGCUCUUAAGUGUGCAUGUGUGUAGGUUAAAGCCUGAGGGGUGAGUAAAGGGGAAAAGGAGAGAGAAAGGAUGCCAAGGCAGGAGGAGAGCUGAGGCAGUGAUGCAUGGACAGGCAUGAGGGUGGAACGAGGUUAGUUUGAGAUUUUUGUAGCAGAGCAAGAAGAGAAAGGGUGUGGAUGAGAUAAAUGACAGCAGCACCGAGAGUAGAGAGAGGAGGGAGGAGGGAGGAAAAGGGAGUCGAGGGCGUUUGAGGAUAUCGCCUCCUAAAUUGACUGCGGCACAGCCAUCGUCCACAGUUACAUCACAGCUGAGCUCAAACUCAGGAUGAACCCACCUCCCUCUCUUUCUCUCUCUCUUCUCUCUCCCUCUUUGUCUCUGCCAACCACAAAGCACCCCGAAGCCAACUUUUGACCGUUUGGCAAUUAAGCAGAGAUGACUGAACGUGUGCGAUGGGAUGUAUCAUAGUUUAAUGAGAUGCACCGGAACAGGAUCAGACUCAAAUUUAGAGCAGACGUUUUCGACUCUCUGUCUCCUCUCUGUUUUUUUUUUUCUUUUUUAGUUUUUUUUUUGUGCUGCAGUCAUCGAGGUUGCAAUCCACUUCAUUCAGGCUCUUGUAGUAAACAAGAUGCUGCACAUUUAUUAAAGGCUGUAUCCUCUCUGUUGGGGCAGCCUGUGAUUUGGAGUCAAUUAGCACAACAACAGACAGUGAUUCUGAAAGCAUUAUUAUAAACAAUAUUCAAAUUAUCAAUGCACUGAAAUUAGACUUAACACCCCGCUGUUUCGAAGUGCACACACUCCUCCAGCUCUGCAGGAGAAGGCGGGGGUCCACAGCCCUGCUGAAGGGCACCUUCACAAACCUGUUCUUACUCCAGACUUCUCGAAAACACCAGCCUCAUUUGCAGCCCAGUGUUUCAAAACAAGACGAUCAGGGAUCGACGUAACAACAGGCAGGGCUUUGGGGUCAAUUUAGUAUUGAUGACAUGCAACCUCCAGUCAAACAAAAGCA
rnacentral:lncRNA from 1 species